rnacentral:misc_RNA from 1 species
UCUCCCGUGAGGGAGCAGUCUCGCCAGACACUUGUAACUGGCAAUGGGGGUUGCGUUCGUUACCCCACUUAAGGGAACAAUUCAAACCACGAACUGACGACGGCCAUGCAUCACCUGUUCUGCCGCCCGAAGGCCCCUCUAGUUUCCUAAAGAGUUCGACAGAAUUUCUAACCCUGGUGAGGUUCUUCGUUUGUCAUCGAAUUAAGCCACAUAAUCCACCGCUUGUGCAAGCCCCCGUCUAUUCCUUUGAGUUUUAAUCUUGCGAUCGUACUACCCAGGCGCCAAACUUAACGCGUUAGCUUCGCCUCUCAGAGGGUCGAUACUCCGAAAAGCCAGUUUGGAACGUUUAGGGCGUGGACUAC